GUUUGUUCAUAAGAUUUAUGUUGUGUGACUUGUCAUUUCAUUCAACAACCAUUCCCUGCUUCUGUCAGCACACGCAGCACACAUCUCUAUAUUAUCACCGUAUUGGCGUAUUCCCCAUAUCACGAGGGACACUAACGGGUUCCUCACCAAAAUCCGAUCCGAAGACUAAAAAGAUGCCGACUUCGAAAUGGGUUUUGAAUCUUUUCCUCUUCAUUUCCAUAGCCGAGCUCCAUUCAAUCGGCUGCAGUGCAAUUUUUUCUUCAGACCCAUAUGCCCAGCAGCAACUAGAUAGAGUCUGGGAGCUUCCAGGGCAGAAUUUUAAUGUGAC
rnacentral:lncRNA from 1 species